UAUAAGCUACUUUAAACGAUCAUCUUUGAUUGUGUUGGCUCGUAGAUCAUAGAGGAAGCGAUUUACCUAUCUUUCGGAACAAGAACUACAGUUAAAAACAGCGACCAAUUGAGAACGGUAGUUAAGUCCGCGAGUAGAGGGGUGAGCGUGUUUUAGCGGCGACAACAGCACACGGUAUGCAGAUACGAAGCCGGGGUAAACCGGGAAGCCGUAGUUCACGGACCGUAGUAAGCGUGGUAACUCUGAACAGUCAACGACAUUUGAAAGCCGGCCGCGCUCUGGAAUUCAGAUAGACGAAUAUGCGGCUGCUUCUGUUCCAAAUAUCUCCGUUACUGUGCCUGUUGACGGAAAUCGGCGCGGCUGGGAUCGGUAAAGCAUGGCAGAUCCUGCCAUACGCGACCGAUUCCUGGAAUCACCCAUCAUGGCCACGGCUCGACUCUUCCGCGUUCGAAGUUCGCAGCGUGACCGGGAAUAAACGCUGAAUUCUGAUUGUAGGGUGGUACAGGCAAAAGUACCGAUACGCGACGGUACGACAUAGCCAUGCAUUAUUACACUUUUUUUUUUCUUUCUUUUUUUUUUUUAAGAUUAUUAUUGUAACUUAAAUUUAAGCCGCUGUUACGCUGUGCUUAUGUGCGAUAUUUUAAUUUAUGUCGUGAAAGCCUGGACGCAAAAACAGGACAGUUCGUUAGCGUAGGAGGGAACUUCUUCGUUAGACUGAACUCUGUUGAUUGACUAUUGAAAGCGCAAAGCGAAAUAAGUUAUAGUAAUUCUUUUGCACGAGAUUAAAUAAUUCAAGAGCGUUAUUUUUUAGUAUUGAUUAUUUAUUUUAAACAUUGAAAUUUACAAUAAACAUUUAGAAUUUACAACAGAAUUUGGCUAAUAAUUCAGUUGUAUGAGAAAAAUUUCAAGACAAUUAUCGAUACAUAAUCCGACAUCGCAUUUUCUGCAUUCUCUUAUUUUUCACACAAACAACACAUUUUCUUCUCGAUAAUUAGAUGCGACUGUCCUCGAAACAGGUAGACAAUUAUAACGAGACAUUAUUGGCAUUUGCUUACUGCCGUUACUAAGGAAUACAUUCAUAUUUAUCUCACAUAAAUGUAAUAGUAUUACUUCUACUUGAUCGGAAAAAUCGACAAACGCGUAUAUCUGUCCUUAGGCCAUGCGGAAUACUUGCAAAAAACGCAUAUAUGUGUUCUGAGUCUACACCCAUAGCUUUCGCCCGGCGCAUAUACGCGCCCAUACAUGCGUUAAUAAGAUAAGAGGAAAUAAAAGACAGAUUAUCGAUAAAAUACACUAACACAUAUGUAAUACGUGGAUAUAUUACCACUCAGAUUACACAUAUUAUAUAUUAUAAGGGAAUAUGUAUACCACGUAUACAUAUAUGUAGAACGAACAUUUCAAACUUGUUUAUAGCGCGUGCCCACACAUACAUGCACGCACACGAACAAUUUUUCGAACGAUAAUUAUAUUAAUGAUAUAUA
rnacentral:misc_RNA from 1 species